rnacentral:rRNA from 1 species
GAUGAACGCUGGCGGCGUGCUUAACACAUGCAAGUCGAGCGAAGCAGUUAAGUUGAUUUCUUCGGCUUGAUUCUUGACUGACUGAGCGGCGGACGGGUGAGUAACGCGUGGGUGACCUGCCCCAUACCGGGGGAUAACAGCUGGAAACGGCUGCUAAUACCGCAUAAGCGCCCAGAGCUGCAUGGCUCGGUGUGAAAAACUCCGGGGGUAUGGGAUGGGCCCGCGUCUGAUUAGGCAGGUGGCGGGGUCACGGCCCACCAAACCGACGAUCAGUGGCCGGCCUGAGAGGGCGACCGGCCACAUUGGGACUGAGACACGGCCCAAACUCCUGCGGGAGGCAGCAGUGGGGGAGGUUGCACAGUGGGGGAAACCCUGAUGCAGCGACGCCGCGUGGGCGAAGAAGUAUUUCGGUAUGUAAAGCUCUAUCAGCAGGGAAGAUAAUGACGGUACCUGACUAAGAAGCCCCGGCUAACUACGUGCCAGCAGCCGCGGUAA